AGGUGGAGAUCUGUCAUCAGCAUAUGUCAGAAAUGUGGGAUAUUAUAUGUAAUGAGUGACAUUUGAGAAUAUAUAUUGGACAAUAAUGGCAUGUGUGGGAGCUAAGAUAUAAUAUUUUUAAAUUCCUAGGAAUUCAGCUCAAGCUGUCAACAUCUAUUAGAUGAGAAAAUGAGUCAGUACAGUAAUGAUGACUGAAAGUACUCCUCUUCAUCAAGUCAAAGGAAGACACCCUGUGAGACUGGCCUAUCGUUCAGCAGUGCUCUGAGGUUUCCUUCCUAGUUUCAGAAAUGCAAAUGAGAGUGGCACUGAUGUCUCCAGGCUUUGAAGAGCAGAGACUGCCUAUUGUGCUGUGGUGUGUGGCUCAGGGCAGACAGAGAGCGUACAGAGUGACGCAUUCUCAAGAGCAAGUUCCAGUUUAGCACAGAAGAAAACCUGGACUGUUUCUGUGUGUGAAGAUUUUAUGUCAACUUGGUCAUCAGUUUAGAAAUAUAUUUGAAGCAGAGAAAUAGGGUGAUCAAUAAAAUAUUUUCAAGCAUAAUACAAUAUUACAUCAGGAUAAAAUUACGUGAGGAAAGUAGACUGGAAAAACUUCACAGAAAGAAAAAGUGUUCAGCCGUCAAAGGCUGCACCCAGUUUUGCCCUAAAAUUGAUUCGAAACAGCAGCCAGAAAAUAUACCCAUGGAAAGUGUAUUCUGUGCCAACCCAGCCUUCCUACAAAGCAAGCAAUCUCUUUGCUCCUGCAAUUUGCAUGGCCAUACCAUACACAGCCUGCUGUCCAUGCUGGUGCACUUUCCAUUGACACUCUUACAAGGUAAUUCUUUAUUUUCCUGAAACAACCAAGACGGGGGUCAGAAGAGCAGUCAAAACGUCAGAUUUGUCUCUGUCUUUUUAUGUUCUAUCUGCAAAGAGUUUUCUUAAAAGUGUCGCUGUGAACACAUUCACUUCCCCAGUCUAGUUGAAGGUUUCAGAAGACCCUGAUUGCUUCAGAGAAAAUGCAGACAUACAGACAAUGCAGACAAGAAGAUCCAAAGCUCCGUCAUCACGCCACGGCGCCAUAUUUUACAACUAUAUUUCCGUAUCCUACAUCGCACCCAGCACGAUGCCUAGCACCCAGCAGAUGUUCAACUACUAUUCUUGAAAGUAUAAAUGCAUUUCACCCAUUUUUACCUUCAUCCCACUGCUUCACUUGCAAAAUAAAGCAUUUGGCACUAUUACCCUUCUCAGAUAAUACGUUAACGUGAGACUGGAGAACGGGAAGGAAGAGGAGAAAAAAAGGAGGGAAAAAAAGAUAAUAGAAGAUGAGAGAAUGGAUGGCAGCUGAGGAAACGGGAGAGAGGCAAGAGGUUCCAGAUUCCAGGCAGCCUCCCUCUUGCCUCCUGAUUCCUCUCUCAUCUCAAAGAAAAAGGCAUCCUACUUCUGUUUUUAAAUCUUCACCAGAAGCCUGGUCACCAAUGUCCUACAAAACAGCUAAGAGCGUUUUAACCCAUUUCCGGUGGAGCUAUGUGAUGAUCCUUUGCCGUGUAAGCGUGAGGCCCUUGGACUAACGGAUGACUCUCUCAGGGAAGCUUCCGCUGACCAGCUCAUUAGGCCAAUCGUCACGUUAGAAGCCUGACUACCUUGCCACCACCGUGAUGUGAAGAAGCCCACACGAUCUACUUAUGGAGGGAGAGGCCAAGUGGAGAAGCACCACAGCAAUCAAACACGUGAGUGGAGAUUUCUUGGACCUUCAGCCUCACUCAGCCCAGUUGACCCAUGAGCUGAAUGCAGGCGAACAAAUGACUCCAGCCUAAGUGGAGCAGAAGAACCAUCUGGUCAAGCUCAACCUGAAUCCCUGACUAACAGAUCGCUAGCAAAUAAUUUGAAUACACCACACAGAUUCUGAUUCCUACAGUUGACUUUUUUCCACUCAUGGUGCAGGGAGAUGGCAGGCUGUCUUAUCACUUCCCUAGUCUAGUGGGUACAAGUUCAUCUUUCAUUGGGGUCCUUUUGUGUCAGAUCAGUUCACUACGACUGGAAAUGUAUCCUCACUCAUUAGGACCCAGCUCAGUUCUUAGGUCCUCUGAUGCAAAUUUCUCUGAUCAUCAUGAGGAAGAAUGAAUAAGUAUUUCCUCUCUCCUGCUACCCCUCUAUUCACAACAUGUAAUGGUUUCCAAUUUUUUUGUGAAAUGAGAUUUUACCUUUUAGUUUAAGAUACUUUUAUCUAAGGAAAAUUCUGCCUUUGCUAUCUCACUGGUCCUCUUCACAUAUGUGUGUCUCAGUCACACUGAACUACUUCCUCCUCCUGUACAUACCCCACUCCACACUCAGUCAGCAGGGUUUUGCUCACAUUGUCCUCUUCGUAUGAAUCACCCAAGCCUCUGGUGCCCAUAUUUAGAUCUAACCAAUAUUUCUGGCCCUGCUAAAGUCUUCUUCUGCCAUAAAGCCUUUUUUGAUAGCUCAACUGUAAUCUCUCUUUCCCUUGAAGACCAAUAUUUUUAGCCUGUAAGUGUCUUGUGACUUUUACCUUCUCAAGACUUUAAAGCAUAGUGGUAUAGAGCAGAAGCUAGCAAAUUACAGCUUGCCAGACAUCCAGCCCAAUGCCUAUUUUCUUUUUUUUUUGCUUGAGGAAGAUUAGCUUUGAGUUAACAUCCAUGCCAGUUCUCCUCUAUUUUGUAUAUGG